rnacentral:rRNA from 1 species
UACGUAGGGUGCAAGCGUUAAUCGGAAUUACUGGGCGUAAAGCGUGCGCAGGCGGUUAUGUAAGACAGAUGUGAAAUCCCCGGGCUCAACCUGGGAACUGCAUUUGUGACUGCAUAGCUAGAGUACGGUAGAGGGGGAUGGAAUUCCGCGUGUAGCAGUGAAAUGCGUAGAUAUGCGGAGGAACACCGAUGGCGAAGGCAAUCCCCCUGGGCCUGUACUGACGCUCAUGCACGAAAGCGUGGGGAGCAAACAGG